GACGAACGCUGGCGGCGUGCCUAAUACAUGCAAGUCGAGCGGAGCUUAUCCUUCGGGGUAAGCUUAGCGGCGGACGGGUGAGUAACACGUAGGCAACCUACCCUGUAGACUGGGAUAACUACCGGAAACGGAAGCUAAUACCGGAUAAUUCCUUUCUUCUCCUGAAGAAAGGAUGAAAGGCGGAGCAAUCUGCUACUAGAGGAUGGUCCUGCGGCGCAUUAGCUAGUUGGUGGGGUAACGGCCCACCAAGGCAACGACGGAUAGCCGGCCUGAGAGUGUGAUCAGCCACAUUGGGACUCAGACACGGCCCAAACGACUACGGGAGGCAGCAGUGGGGAAUAUUGGACAAUGGCCGCAAGGCUGACGCAGCGACGCCGCGUGUGGGAUGACGGCCUUCGGGUUGUAAACCACUGUCAGGGGGAACGAAUACACGCUUUGGGCGUGGGUGACGGUACCUCCAAAGGAAGCACCGGCUAACUCCGUGCCAGCAGCCGCCGUAA
rnacentral:rRNA from 1 species